rnacentral:rRNA from 1 species
GACGAACGCUGGCGGCGUGCUUAACACAUGCAAGUCGAACGGAAAGGCCCUGCUUUUGUUUGUUUCUCGAGUGGCGAACGGGUGAGUAAAACGUGAGUAACCUGCCCUUAACUUUCUGAUAACUUCAGGGAACUGGGGCUAAUACCGGGGAUGAGCUCCUGCUGCAUGGGGGUGGUUGGAGUGUUUCGGCGGUUGGGGAUGGACUCGCUGCUUAUCAGCUUGUUUGUGUGGUAGUUGCUUACCAAGGCUUUGACGGGUAGCCGGCCUGAGAGCGUGACCGGCCACCUUGGGACUGCGAUACGGAGCAGAAGCCUACGGGCGGCAGUAGUGGGGAAUCUUGCAGAACGGCCGGACGCCUGAUGUAGAAAUGUUGCGAGCGUGAUGCUGGCUUACGGGUUGUAAACAGAUUUCGAAUGUGCCGAAGCGUGCGUGACGGUACUGGGUAAAGAAGCAACGGCUAACUACGUG